UUACGGCCAUAUCACGUUGAAACAAUGGUUCUUGUACGAUCACUGGGGUUAAGCAACGUCGAGCCUGUUCAGUACUAGUGGGUGACUGCUUGGGAAUACCAGGUGCUGUAAG